AGUUAAUGAGCUUGUAAAGCAUGUACCUUGAAAGUACACUAAAAGAAAUUACAAUUUUCUAUUAACUU
rnacentral:tRNA from 1 species